rnacentral:rRNA from 1 species
UAGUCCACGCCGUAAACGAUGGAUGCUAGCUGUAAGAGGUAUCGACCCCUCUUGUAGCGAAGCUAACGCGUUAAGCAUCCCGCCUGUGGAGUACGGUCGCAAGACUAAAACAUAAAGGAAUUGACGGGGACCCGCACAAGCGGUGGAGCGUGUUGUUUAAUUCGAUGGUAAGCGAAGAACCUUACCCAGGUUUGACAUCCCGAGAAUCUUCCCGAAAGGGAGGAGUGCAAUUUGAACUCGGUGAC